rfam:Aedes albopictus isolate Foshan contig119140, whole genome shotgun sequence.
UAGCCUAGUGGUUAAGGCUAAGGAUCGCCAAUCCGGAGACGACGGGUUCGAUUCCCGU